AGUGACAGUGAGGGACGGUGUGACUAGUGACAGAGAGAGGGAGGGGGUGACUAGUGACAGAGGGAGGGAUGAGGUGACUAGUGACAGUCACCACCUCCUUCACUCUGUCACUAGUCACUCCCUCCCUCACUCUGUCAUUGUGUCACCCCCUUCCUCACUCUGUCACUAGUAACCCCCUCCCUCACUCUGUCAUUGUGUCACCCCCUUCCUCACUCUGUCACU